rnacentral:rRNA from 1 species
CUGAGCGUCAGUCUUUGUCCAGGGGGCCGCCUUCGCCACCGGUAUUCCUCCAGAUCUCUACGCAUUUCACCGCUACACCUGGAAUUCUACCCCCCUCUACAAGACUCUAGCCUGCCAGUUUCGAAUGCAGUUCCCAGGUUGAGCCCGGGGAUUUCACAUCCGACUUGACAGACCGCCUGCGUGCGCUUUACGCCCAGUAAUUCCGAUUAACGCUUGCACCCUCCGUAUUACCGCGGCUGCUGGCACGGAGUUAGCCGGUGCUUCUUCUGCGAGUAACGUCAAUCACUGCGGUUAUUAACCACAAUGCCUUCCUCCUCGCUGAAAGUACUUUACAACCCGAAGGCCUUCUUCAUACACGCGGCAUGGCUGCAUCAGGCUUGCGCCCAUUGUGCAAUAUUCCCCACUGCUGCCUCCCGUAGGAGUCUGGACCGUGUCUCAGUUCCAGUGUGGCUGGUCAUCCUCUCAGACCAGCUAGGGAUCGUCGCCUAGGUGAGCCAUUACCUCACCUACUAGCUAAUCCCAUCUGGGCACAUCUGAUGGCAAGAGGCCCGAAGGUCCCCCUCUUUGGUCCGAAGACGUUAUGCGGUAUUAGCUACCGUUUCCAGUAGUUAUCCCCCUCCAUCAGGCAGUUUCCCAGACAUUACUCACCCGUCCGCCGCUCGUCACCCAGGAGCAAGCUCC